AUCUUUCGGUGUCUUAUUCCCACAAGCAUCUCGAGGCACAUAUGCCUGGUAGAAUGUAAGAAAAUCGUUGAAAGCACCAGAAUGUUUAAUUUUUGAGCAGCAACACAUCUAAAACGAGGGCAAAUUCUAAUGUCAAUAUAACGAAAAAAAAACAAUGGUGCAUCAUUAUAUACGACCAAUACAGACAAACAGACGAAUGCACAUAGAUAUUCACACAGCACUACAUAAAAAAACAUUAACUGCUGUCAUUGUUCAGUUCAUUGAAACUUCAGGACACGCUCAAGUUUCACAAGGGGAGGCGAAAGGUACUACGCUUUCACUUUAUGUCAGUCACACUAGGAUUGCCACCGCUAACUGCUUUAAACGAAUAAAGACAACGAGUAAAGGUUCUCACCCUCUAGGCAGCCUAUCCCGAGAGAGGUUCCUAUAACGUAAACAGCACAGUAGCAACAGCUGCACAACUACCUGCCGGCCUAAUCUCAACUACACCUAUGGAAGCAAAGUCAAUGGUCGUAUCAUUUUUGUGCGACUUCCUGCAGACACCUGCAAUGAGUUUGCUUACUUCUCGUCAUCCACAUUCCUUGUGCUGCGCAAAUUAAAGGAGAAUUCGCUUGUCAGCUAGUAACAAACCAUGACCCGAUGACCUCCAGGGUUGUAUUAGCACUUCAUCAAGCUUAGCAGAGGAGCACAACCACGCUCGCCACUCACUGCAGUUCCAGCAGGAAGGAAGAAGACUGGAGAUCAUCCACAGCACCCUACUCACCCCCCGGCCAGCACACACAAGAUCUGCUCAGAGUCCAGGGCAAGGAACAACCCAACUUCCGUAAAAGUCAGAGACUGAAGGACAAGAAGGAACCUUAAUAAACAUCUCUCUGUUGAUUUUCAAACAUGAUAUGAAAAUAACAGCUGGAACAGUUGAGACAGUUAACCUAGUUCACAGUUGUACUGAGCAGUGGAUACCCAAAGGACUC